GAUGAACGCUGGCGGCGUGCCUAAUACAUGCAAGUCGAUCGAACGGACGAGAAGCUUGCUUCUCUGAUGUUAGCGGCGGACGGGUGAGUAACACGUGGAUAACCUACCUAUAAGACUGGGAUAACUUCGGGAAACCGGAGCUAAUACCGGAUAAUAUUUUGAACCGCAUGGUUCAAAAGUGAAAGACGGUCUUGCUGUCACUUAUAGAUGGAUCCGCGCUGCAUUAGCUAGUUGGUAAGGUAACGGCUUACCAAGGCAACGAUGCAUAGCCGACCUGAGAGGGUGAUCGGCCACACUGGAGCUGAGACACGGUCCAGACUCCUACGGGAGGCAGCAGUAGGGAAUCUUCCGCAAUGGGCGAGAGCCUGACGGAGCAACGCCGAGUGAGUGAUGAAGGUCUUCGGAUCGUAAAACUCUGUUACUAGGGAAGAACAGAUGUGUAAGGAACUGUGCACAUCUUGACGGUAACUAAUCAGAAAGCCACGGCUAACUACGUG
rnacentral:rRNA from 1 species